AUGAACGCUGGCGGCGUGCCUAAUACAUGCCAGUCGAGCGAACAGACGAGGAGCUUGCUCCUCUGACGUUAGCGGCGGACGGGUGAGUAACACGUGGAUAACCUACCUAUAAGACUGGGAUAACUUCGGGAAACCGGAGCUAAUACCGGAUAAUAUAUUGAACCGCAUGGUUCAAUAGUGAAAGACGGUUUUGCUGUCACUUAUAGAUGGAUCCGCGCCGCAUUAGCUGGUUGGUAAGGUAACGGCUUACCAAGGCAACGAUGCGUAGCCGACCUGAGAGGGUGAUCGGCCACACUGGAACGGAGACACGGUCCAGACUCCUACGGGAGGCAGCAGUAGGGAAUCUUCCGCAAUGGGCGAAAGCCUGACGGAGCAACGCCGCGUGAGUGAUGAAGGUCUUCGGAUCGUAAAACUCUGUUAUUAGGGAAGAACAAAUGUGUAAGUAACUAUGCACGUCUUGACGGUACCUAAUCAGAAAGCCACGGCUAACUACGUG
rnacentral:rRNA from 1 species